CGAGCUUGCCAAGUACGUCUCCCACCCUGCAACAAAGGAAAAGUAGCAACCUGGUAUUCUAAAAACAAAAUGUCACGCAAGAAAAGUGAAAUUUGGCUGCAUUUUUCAGAGGAGAAGGAAAGCAGCGUACAAUGUCGCUACUGUGACAAAAAACUUGCAGUGGGAAACAAGUCGACGUUUAACCUUAUACGGCACAUGAAUGCAAAACAUCCAACGCAAGUUAUACACAGGCAGGAGGCGCCAGGAGAACCAACUCCGAACAAUACCUCAGGUAGUGAAGUACGCAAUGUACAAGGAACGCAAACAUCGUCAGUCUCAGCUGUUGCUCCACCAUGUCCAUCAGUUUUACAAUUUUUAAAUAAGCCUCUUACAAUAAAAAAGCAAGCUGAAAUC